rnacentral:rRNA from 1 species
GAUGAACGCUGGCGGCGUGCCUAAUACAUGCAAGUCGAGCGAACAGACGAUGAGCUUUCUCCUCUUACGUUUUCGGCUGACGUGUGAUUAACACGUGUAUAACCUACCUAUAAUUCUUUUAUAACUUCGGGAAACCUUAUCUUAUCCCGUUUAAUAUAUUUAACCUCUUGGUUCUAUAGUUAUAGACGGUUUUUCUGUCUCUUAUAGAUUGUUCCUCGCCGCAUUAGCUAGUUGGUAAGGUAACGGCUUACCAAGGCAACGAUGCGUAGCAGACCUGAGAGGGUGAACGGACAAACUGGAACUGAGACACGGAAAAGAAUACGAAGGGAGGCAGCAGUAGGGAAUAUUCCGCAAUGGGCGAAAGAAUGACGGAGCAAAGCCGAGUGAGUGAUGAAGGACUUCGGAUCGUAAAACUAUGUUAUUAGGGAAGAACAAAUGUGUAAGUAAAUAUGCACGUAAUGACGGUAACUAAACAGAAAGCAACGGCUAACUACGUG